rnacentral:lncRNA from 1 species
GCUAGUUAUAUAAAGCUGCAAACAACAGAGGAGACGUAGAGUAUAUAUAUUGGAUUCAUCAGAUUUGUAUUUAAUAAAUUUAGAAAAAUCGUGACAAAAGUUGAAAAGUAGAUUAUGAAACCAUAACUUAAGUAUUACAAGUUGUUCAUUAAUUCUUAAAAUCUUAAAGGCUGAAUCCAUAAAAUUUAAAAUCUAAAUCCACCUCAGCAGGCUACACCAGAGUGACUAACGGCGAGCGUGGUGCUCACGGAUAGCUUGGUGGUGGUUGUGGUGGUGGUGGUGGUGGCGAUGAUUCUGUUGUUUCUUGCAGUGAUGGUGGUGGUGGGGACCUUGGUGGUGUCCGAUUAGGUUCCCACCAAGGUGUCCACCUCGGCCUCGACUUCUUAGGAGGGAGAUUGAUCACAUGAAAUCUCUUAUUAGCCUCUGGUGGUGACACAGUUGGUUUUUUGCCAUUUAAACCUCUUAGCUCUCUAGCAACCUUAAAUUGAGAAUCAUAUUGUUGCAUGGACCUUGAUGCUACUAAGUCCACACAAAUUAAUUCAUGGAUGAGCAAAAACAUUAGCAUAAAUGAAAUUACACCUAGUACUACACUCAUUCUUUCAAAUUCUCAAGUAGUAUACUAA